rnacentral:rRNA from 1 species
CCAAUCGAACCCGGAGAUAGCUGGUUCUCCUCGAAAUAGCUUUAGGGCUAGCCUCAUGAGAGUCUUAUGGAGGUAGAGCACUGAAUUGCCUAGGGGGCGUCAAAGCUUACCAAAGCAUAUCAAACUCCGAAUGCCAUCAAGAUGAUUCAUGGGAGUCAGACCAUACGAGAUAAGUUGGAUGGUCAAAAGGGAAAGAGCCCAGACCUACAGCUAAGGUCCCAAAGUACGUGUUAAGUGGAAAAGGAUGUGGGGAUUCUAAGACAACUAGGACGUUGGCUUAGAAGCAGCCAUUCAUUGAAAGAGUGCGUAAUAGCUCACUAGUCGAGAGUCCCUGCGCCGAAAAUGUCCGGGGCUGAAACACGACACCGAAGCUUAGGAAUGUGUAAACAUUGGUAGAGGAGCAUUGCUGGCGGGAUGAAGCCAUACCGUAAGGAGUGGUGGACUGCUAGGAAGAGAGAAUGCCGGAAUGAGUAGCGAGAUGAAGGUGAGAAUCCUUCAGGCCGAAUAUCUAAGGUUUCCAGAGUAAAGCUGAUCUGCUCUGGGUAAGUCGGGACCUAAGGCGAGGUCGAAAGACGUAGUCGAUGGAUAACAGGUUGAAAUUCCUGUACCGCAUAUAAACAGAACUGUGGGGACACAGACAGGGAAUGGAAUCCGGGAGUGGAGAUCCCGGUGCAAGCGAGGUAGGAGUGCUGUUGGCAAAUCCGCAGCACGAUCUGAAGACGUGACGCGUACCGAACAUAAGUAGGGAAGUCCAGGCCCCUGGCUGUCAAGAAAAGCCGCUAUCGUUUUAUAUGUGCCCGUACCGCAAACCGACACAGGUGGAUGAGGAGAGAAUCCUAAGGCCGACGGGAGAAGUAUUGUUAAGGAACUCGGCAAAAUGACUCCGUAACUUCGGGAGAAGGAGUGCCAUGAGAGUGGCCGCAGAGAAAUGGCCCAAGCAACUGUUUAGCAAAAACACAGGUCUAUGCAAAACCGCAAGGUGAAGUAUAUGGGCUGACGCCUGCCCGGUGCUGGAAGGUUAAGGGGAGAGGUUAGCGCAAGCGAAGCUUUGAACUUAAGCCCCAGUAAACGGCGGCCGUAACUAUAACGGUCCUAAGGUAGCGAAAUUCCUUGUCGGGUAAGUUCCGACCCGCACGAAAGGCGUAAUGAUUUGAGCGCUGUCUCGACAAUGCAUCCGGUGAAAUUGAAGUACCAGUGAAGAUGCUGGUUACCUGCGCCAGGACGGAAAGACCCCAUGGAGCUUUACUCCAGUUUGAUACUGGGAUUCGGUACUGCACGUACAGGAUAGGUGGGAGACUGAGAACUAUGGACGCCAGUCUGUAGGGAGUCGCUGUUGGGAUACCACCCCUGUAGUACUGGGUUUCUAACCAGCUGCCGUGACCCGGCAGUGGGACAAUGUCAGGCGGGGAGUUUGACUGGGGCGGUCGCCUCCGAAAGGGUAUCGGAGGCGCUCAAAGGUUCCCUCAGAAUGGUUGGAAACCAUUCGAAGAGUGCAAAGGCAGAAGGGAGCUUGACUGCGACACCGACGGGUGGAGCAGGUACGAAAGUAGGACUUAGUGAUCCGGUGGUAUAAAGUGGGAUUGCCAUCGCUCAACGGAUAAAAGCUACCCUGGGGAUAACAGGCUUAUCACUCCCAAGAGUUCACAUCGACGGAGUGGUUUGGCACCUCGAUGUCGGCUCAUCGCAUCCUGGGGCUGUAGUAGGUCCCAAGGGUUGGGCUGUUCGCCCAUUAAAGCGGUACGCGAGCUGGGUUCAGAACGU